rnacentral:rRNA from 1 species
GUUGUCGUCAGCUCGUGUCGUGAGAUGUUGGGUUAAGUCCCGCAACGAGCGCAACCCUUAUGACUAGUUGCCAGCAUUUAGUUGGGCACUCUAGUAAGACUGCCGGUGACAAACCGGAGGAAGGUGGGGAUGACGUCAAAUCAUCAUGCCCCUUAUGACCUGGGCUACACACGUGCUACAAUGGAUGGUACAACGAGUUGCGAGACCGCGAGGUCAAGCUAAUCUCUUAAAGCCAUUCUCAGUUCGGACUGUAGGCUGCAACUCGCCUACAUGAAGUCGGAAUCGCUAGUAAUCG